rnacentral:rRNA from 1 species
UACGGAGGGUGCAAGCGUUAUCCGGAUUCACUGGGUUUAAAGGGUGCGUAGGCGGGCAGGUAAGUCAGUGGUGAAAUCUCCGAGCUUAACUCGGAAGCUGCCAUUGAUACUAUUUGUCUUGAAUAUUGUGGAGGUAAGCGGAAUAUGUCAUGUAGCGGUGAAAUGCUUAGAUAUGACAUAGAACACCAAUUGCGAAGGCAGCUUACUACACAAUUAUUGACGCUGAGGCACGAAAGCGUGGGGAGCGAACAGG